rnacentral:tRNA from 1 species
GUAAAUGUGGCUGAGUGGUAAAGCGAUUGGCUUCCGAUCCGAGGGGUCCCGGGUUCGAAUCCUGGUGAAGACU